rnacentral:rRNA from 1 species
AUUGAACGCUGGCGGCAUGCCUUACACAUGCAAGUCGAACGGCAGCACGGGAGCAAUCCUGGUGGCGAGUGGCGAACGGGUGAGUAAAGUAUCGGAACAUGCCCAGUCGUGGGGGAUAACGUAGCGAAAGUUACGCUAAUACCGCAUACGAUCUAUGGAUGAAAGCGGGGGAUCGCAAGACCUCGCGCGCUUGGAGCGGCCGAUAUCAGAUUAGGUAGUUGGUGGGGUAAAGGCUCACCAAGCCGACGAUCUGUAGCUGGUCUGAGAGGACGACCAGCCACACUGGGACUGAGACACGGCCCAGACUCCUACGGGAGGCAGCAGUGGGGAAUUUUGGACAAUGGGCGAAAGCCUGAUCCAGCCAUGCCGCGUGCAGGAUGAAGGCCUUCGGGUUGUAAACUGCUUUUGUACGGAACGAAAAGGUUUGGGCUAAUAAGCUGAGCUCAUGACGGUACCGUAAGAAUAAGCACCGGCUAACUACGUGCCAGCAGCCGCCGCGG